CGGAACCGGAUUGGGGAAACACUGGUCUUACUCUAUCAUACAUCGAGGCACCUGGAAUGAGGGAUAAAUGGAUAAUCGUGUUUUCUGCAGCAUCCUAAAGCAGAGUCCUGCCUAAGAAUGAAAAGUGAGUUCAUGUGCUUUAUGUCACCAAGUGCAGGUUUAGAUUUCAUACGUUCAUUCGUAAAUUUAAGAAGAUGUAAAGAACAAUUGUUUCUAGAUUUAAUUAUCUGAUAACAUUGUACAAGGUGUGCUUUUCCAAUUAAAUUCUUGUCUCUAAGCCGGUCUUGUCAAUCCUAAACCCAACCUGCUUUCCUUUUCCUUUUCAGAAGUCUUCAGUAUUAUACAGUUUUGCAGAUAUAAAUCUGCCAUCUUUGGCGCUUAGUGCUUUUUUUUUUCUUGUUAAAUACAAUCGUUCUUUUUUUCUCUGCUGCUUUUGUUCAUAGCAUUUGAUGUUUCAGAUCACUGGAAGGUGAUUCACUGAGUGAUGAGGAUGUCCUUCCUCACUAACUAUAACGACGGAAGUAUAAGCAUAAAGUAUAUUCACAAAGUAAAUAAUUCUUAUUAAAUGGACGUGUUCUAUAGGUGUUUGUUUGAAUCACACAAUCUCAACCACUGUUGAUGUUCUAGUUUCAUAAACCUUUCAGUUAAAAAAUUGUUCAGGAGGCUUAAAAUGUGUAACAUUUUGUAAAGCAUCUUUAUACGAAGCAAAUUACUGCGUGUGAUUAUCUUUCAUGCAAUACAGUACAGUUAUUCCUUUUA